UACGGGGGGGGCAAGCGUUGUUCGGAAUUACUGGGCGUAAAGGGCUCGUAGGUGGCCAACUAAGUCGGACGUGAAAUCCCUCAGCUUAACUGGAGAACUGCGUCCGAUACUGGAUGGCUUGAGUUUGGGAGAGGGAUGCGGAAUUCCAGGUGUAGCGGUGAAAUGCGUAGAUAUCUGGAGGAACACCGGUGGCGAAGGCGGCAUCCUGGACCAACACUGACACUGAGGAGCGAAAGCCAGGGGAGCAAACGGG
rnacentral:rRNA from 1 species